CUUUUUCAGAAAUCUUGACAUCAUCCCUUUCUUGCAUGCCACAUCUUGACGGAAGAAAAUUCAAUUAAAGGACGAUUGCGUCGCCUCUUCACGAGCUCCGGGUGUAAUUAUUUCGUUUGAAGGACCGUUCUCUAGAAGAUCAUGUGAAGGAAAUUAUUACAUGUCCAUCAUUUUCUGAUUGCUCAUAUUGUGAUUUUUUGAAUGCAGGAAAUCUAACCAGGCUCUUUGCAGCCAUAGAAGACUCUUCUGUUGUGGACAAUAUUAAUAUUGCUCUUCAGAGGCCAGUUAAAUGUUUUGACAACUUGGUGAAGAAAUUUGAUUUCAACCUCAUUAUCAGUAACCCUAAGGGCUCUUCCAAUGUAAAACUAGGUGUCACACUAGAAAUCUGCACUGUAUCUCAGAAAGCAAGAACCAAAAGACAGCAGAAACACUAGUUAGAGCAUGCUCAAUAAAACUAAAUUGUAUGGGCAAAUCUACAUGAGAUACUCCACAUACCACAGUUACAUGUACAUGUAAACCCAAGUGUAGUAUUAAUGUUAUGGUUGUCAGUACAGCCAGAAAAGAGAGUUAACUCAUAUUAAUUUAUAACUUAUAAAGUUAUCAGUUUUGACAAAGUCAAUUAUCAAAAGUUCAUAAAUAAACAAACAUAUUCCCUAUUCUUUACAGCGUUAAA